UACGAAGGGGGCUAGCGUUGCUCGGAAUCACUGGGCGUAAAGCGCACGUAGGCGGAUUGUUAAGUCAGGGGUGAAAUCCUGGAGCUCAACUCCAGAACUGCCUUUGAUACUGGCGAUCUCGAGUCCGGGAGAGGUGAGUGGAACUGCGAGUGUAGAGGUGAAAUUCGUAGAUAUUCGCAAGAACACCAGGGGCGAAGGCGGCUGACUGGUCGGGAUCUGACGCUGAGGCGCGAAAGCGUGGGGAGCAAACAGG
rnacentral:rRNA from 1 species